CUCUGUUUUAAUGACAAUAAAGCAUUUAUCUAUGAUACUGUAUUGGUUACUGGCCAUUUCAGGUACCACUGAAAGGAGGGACAUGAGCAGAAGAGUUCACUCUUUAAGGUCAUAGGGUAUAAAAUGAGUUUUGUUUUAUGGGUCCCAACCUUUAUUAGAUUCCAUACAUUCUCUCUUCCUACAGAAUAUACAUAAUUGCAAUAACUAAGAAAAAGUCAAACAGGCAAAUCAGUGUGCUUGAUGAUCUGCAUAAAACUUUUAAUGCAAUUGAAGAAAAAAAAAAUCAGUGCCAAAAAACGAUACUGCAGGAACAACAGAAGAUCCAGCAUGUAAUGGGUUACUCAAGUCUCCCCAAAGCCCUCGCCCUAUAGUCGUUUCAUCUAGAAUGCGGCCCUCGAUGUAUUUAUUUAACAUUGUGCUGCAUUUCAGUGGGUUUAUGGGGGGUGGGGUGGGGAUUACAAAUAAAUGCUAUCGUCCAUUAACAAAGGCGGGCAUUAUGGCUUAUCCUGAAAAUCCAGUUCUGAAGGAGCCGACACGCCUAGAACAAUCGGCGCAGCCCCGCACCCAGCCUCCAGCGCAGCAUGCCAGGCCUGGAGGAGGGCAGGUGCGGCUCUCAUCUGCGGAUCAGCUUCUGGAGCACAGCAGCUGUUCUCAGUUCCUGCAGCUCAGAGGCAGUGUUGCCCAA
rnacentral:lncRNA from 1 species